rnacentral:sRNA from 1 species
AGAUAAGAAGGACAUCUCCCUGUGGCAUCUUUCAUGACAUCAAUCACCAGAGCUCAUCCCUGUGACCUAGACAGCUGGAUCUCCCUUCCCCUUCACUGCUCCAUGUGUAUUCCUCCUGAAGCUUCAAGUUAUGUCUAGUAGAAACGGAGUCCAAAGAGAGCAGAUCCUUCCCCCAUCUAGGAGAACUGUUACUCAGUCAAGAGUCUAAGAGCAACUGAACUCCCUUCAAGAGAAUGUGCAAACAUGUUCUCAAAAACAGAGGAAAGGGCUGGAGAGAUGGCUUAGCGGUUAAGCGCUU